UAGGGUUUUUGUAGUUGAAUAA
rnacentral:tRNA from 1 species